rnacentral:tRNA from 1 species
GAGGGUGUAGCUCAGUGGUAGAGUGUGUGCUUAGCAUGCACAAGGUCCUGGGUUCGAUCCCCAGUGCCUCCA